UUUAUGCUUUGGAUGAAUAGUUAAAUUAUACAAACACGUCGGACUUUGACGUCAUCAGUGGUCGACCAAAACAAAAACAUGGCGGAAAGUCAUUCGGCUGGACUUCGGUAGAAACCUCUCUUCUUUUUUGUUUAUCAUCCUUUCGUCUGUUUAGAGUCUGUCAGUGAUUUUGUACAAUUGCAAUACUGCGUUCGCUGUUGGUACUGUAGAAGCUUAUUUUGUUCUCCGGGAGUUGCCAGGGUUAGUUAGUUGGCAGGGGGGGUUAUGUUGGACUGCGCGGGUUUUUGGGUCGUGUCUAACGGAGACUGAAGGCACGAAUAAUGUUGUUAUCUUGCUGCACCAACGAACUUGGACCUUAUUGACUGCUGUCCGGGCGGAUUUACCAAAUAUAACCCUCUGCUACAAUACUGCGGACACCAAAGACACAAAGCUGAAUGAUUUUGACUCACGUCCACUGUUUAAAAUCAAGUGGCCACUGAUAAAUUGGUAUUCAGGCUGAACUCACUCAAUUGAGGAGCAUCAUGGAUGACGAUGAUGCCUUAUUUCUUGCUGAUUUGCUGUUGGAGGAAUGCAAGAAUACUCAACCUAAAGAAUCCUCAGAAGUGUCUGGACCGGACAAAUUUACAUUUGUUUGGGUUGAGGAGGACGAGGAAGGGAAUCCUAUCCCAAAGGGGAGGAGAACAGGGAAGAAGCGGGCAAAGAGUUCAUCCUCAGGUGAUUUUUGUUCACUAUCUUUAUGAUCUCUAUUGCCUGUCUUUGGCUGACUACAUUGGUUAUGUAUUAUUAUAGAACUAAUGUCAGUCAACUGCUUCAGUAUUUGAUUGAUUUGUCACGGUUGUGGGGCUAACUAUUUGACACGACACUGUCCUAGUGAGGACAUUUCGCUGAAUACAGGACAUAAUGUCACAUCACAAUGUUUACAUGGUUGAGUAGUCAGUAUAAGUGGUUUACUGUAAUGUGGUUAAGUGGUUAAAUUAAUUUCAGAGUCCUGCUUAAUGUUAGUAAUUUGUUUUGGAUGUUUGUUGUUGUUUAAGGUGAGAGACAAUGGUCAAUUGUCAAUUGGGUCAAUGAGUCCUCACAAAGUUCUCACAAAACAUAAUUAUGUGUGUGAGUUACAAAACUCUACUGAAAACAAUGAUGUCAAAAUAUUGGCUAAAGGGAGACGUCUUGAAAUAGUUAAAGAAGCCACUUUGACCAGAGGGGAAAUCCUUCUUCCAUGGUUUUACAUAAUAGAUCAUCCAUGAUAGAGGGAUUCUACAGGCCACUGCCACCAACCACUCACAUCAGGGAAGAGAAGGGAGGAAAAUUCUCCUUCCAUGGAAGAGGUCUGUACUGUAUUUUAAAACCUCUUUUUAAUUAUGUUUGUCUCCUUUCUUCCCAGAGUGCAUUUUGCUAGUAAUGCAUCCAUGCUGUGACUGCUGCUCUGGGCAUACAACCUUUUCUGCAGGAAAGCAAGUAAUUCUGAUUGGAAUGAAUGGUCGCUACAAUGUGUCCCUCCCAACUGUCAGCUGCUCCUGUGGGAAAGCUUUGGAUGUCGGUAUUAGUGAGCUGAUUGAAAGUGGCUACUGGCCAGCUACAGUCCAUUUUGAGACGCUGUACACAGUGGAUUUGUUCGCUACAUACGAAGAUCUCAAGAUUGCUGCACCAGGAAUGUCAAGCUUUCGUUGGUAUGCUUGAGCAGCGCACAAAACUCUUUGGUCGGUGUGGUAAAAUAUGUGGCGACACCAUGCAAAAAUCAUUCCUGGAAUGGUCGUACGCAAAAUUUGAAGUUGAGAGGCUGUCUGAAGUCGCUCAGUUUCGGUGCCCAGCCUGCACACCCUCAAUGUUAGCUGUCUCAGUGGAUGGGAACCUGAACUUGAAAAAACCAUUGAAGGACUGUAUCUGAGCAUUAAGCAGCGGAAAUAUCAGCUGUAUCGUCAGGCUGAUGGCAACAAGAGAAGACAUCUGCUGAGAAAAAAGAUUUCAGUGGAAAAGAGAUCCUUAGAAGAUGCCAUCACAAAAUACAAUGCUGUUGUGCCGGAAACUGGCAAACUCCCUUCUCCCAACGAGCUCCUGGCUGAGGAAAACGAUUCCUGGCCUUGGGAAUGUCAUGGUGAUAUGUUAAAGAAAAAAAAGGUCUUCGACAAGGUAAUGCUGCUGAAACGACUGAAGGAAGAGGAGGUCAUUGUUGUCCGUGAAGUCAAGCAGCACUGGGAGUACAUGAGGAAUAUGGCUGGAAAUAUUGAAGAGAUUUCCUCCCAGCUUUCAGAAGGGAUCACUCAGCAAAAAGCAUUGACUGGGAUAGGACGUGAGGGGCUACUCUGUCUGCUGAAGAGAAGACUGUCAGCAAUUCAAGCUCAGCAGGGUGCAGCUCGCUCAACGUACCAACAUGUUUUUGGAUCGCAAGCCUUGUCUCUCGAUGAUUCCUCCACUGAUGAUGAAGAACCCCAUGAUAGCAGCUCCUCCACCGAAGAUGAAGAACACUAGCAUUGUAGCUCCUCUUCUGAACUUUGACCUCCCUCAUUAAAAAAUGAGGAAAACUGUUGUAAUUACCUGGCCUGCGGUAUGAAUGUGAAAUGUUAAAAUAAACUGUCCUGCAAUUGACUCUUUUUCUGAG